rnacentral:tRNA from 1 species
GGGGUGCCCUGGAUCGUGUCACCCGCGUCCAACAGCAGCGUGUUGCCGCGGCCCUUCUCCUCCCGGACCUGGU